rnacentral:lncRNA from 1 species
CAGAAUCAAAGUGCACUCCUUGUGAAGACAAGAGAUUUAAAUUACUACAGCGGAAGAAAGAGGGCUAGCCAAAGGGCACUUUAGAGAUUUAAAUUCUAAGGAUGGUGGAGAUAAAGAAAGCAAAAAUGAACAAUCACAGCCAUCAGACAACAGAAUAUCAAAAACUUCAGGCUCUGAAAACCAGCAGACUUUUAAAAAAGAUUCAGCAGAAAUUCACCUAAUAAAAGGAAUUGUGGAAAAAAGCAAGAUACUUUUGGGUAGAAAAGAUCUUAUAUUAAAAUAUGCUGCUUCAAAUAAGACAUCAGAGCUUUGAAAACAGAGCCAUUAUAUGAGUGCAUCCAUGUAAUGCGGCCUACAUUGCUACUAGGGAUAUAUU